rnacentral:rRNA from 1 species
GGGAACCGCCUGAACUGAAACAUCUAAGUAGGGCGAGGAAGAGACAUCAAACGAGAUUCCGUAAGUAGUGGCGAGCGAACGCGGAAGAGGGCAAACCGAGAGUAGAAAUACUUUCGGGGUACGGACUGCUUUUAAGACUCAAUCUGUUAACCGAACGGCAUGGGAAGGCCGGUCAGAGAGUGUGAGAACCACGUAGGUGAAAACGGAGAGAGCUGCGCAGGAUCCAGAGUACGGCCAGACACGUGAAACCUGGUCGGAAUACGGGGGGACCACCCUCCAACCCUAAAUACUACCCAGUGACCGAUAGCGUAUAGUACUGUGAAGGAAAGGUGAAAAGCACCCCGGGAGGGGAGUGAAAUAGAACCUGAAACCCUGUGCCUACAAGCACCUAGAGCACGUCAAAGUGUGAUAGGGUACUUUUUGUAGAACGGUCCGGCGAGCGAUUGUAUGCAGCAAGGUUAAGGACUUAAGGUCUGGAGCCGAAGCGAAAGCGAGUUUGAAAAGGGCGUUAAGUUGCAUAUAAUGGGCCCGAAACCGGGUGACCUACCCAUGGUCAGGUUGAAGUGGAAGUAAAAUUCCAUGGAGGACCGAACCGACCUCCGUUGAAAAGGCGGCGGAUGAACUGUGGGUAGCGGAGAAAUUCCAAUCGAACCCGGAGAUAGCUGGUUCUCCCCGAAAUAGUUUUAGGACUAGCCUCAAGUUAGAUACCUGGAGGUAAAGCACUGAAUAGCCUAGCGGCCGAGAGGUUAGCGAAGCUUAUCAAACUCAGAAUGCCAGAGUAUUGAUGCUUGGGAGUCAGACAGUGUCAGAUAAAUGUCAUUGUCAAAAGGGAAACAGCCCAGAUCUACAGCUAAGGUCCCAAAGUCAGGUUAAGUGGAAAACGAUGUGAAGAUACGCAGACAACCAGGAUGUUGGCUCAGAAGCAGCCACUCAUUCAAAGAGUGCGUAAUAGCUCACUGGUCGAGCGUCUUUGCGCGGAGAAUUUAACGGGGCUAAACCUGACACCGAAGCUUAGGCAAUGUAGUAAUACAUUGGGUAGGGGAGCGUUGUAUACGCGGAGAAACAGUAGCGUAAGCGGCUGUGGAGUGUAUAGAAGUGAGAAUGCCGGAAUGAGUAGCGCGAAUGCAGUGAGAAUCUGCAUGGCCGAAAGCCUCAGGUUUCUGGAGGAAGGUUCGUCCGCUCCAGGUUAGUCGGGAGCUAAGGUGAGGCCGGAAGGCGUAGCCGAUGCACAGACGGUAGAGAUUCCGUCACCACCAAAAGAGUUAAGCACAGGGACACAUUUGAAGUCUCAGAGCCGGGUGUUGGUUCCGGUAGAGAUCGAGGGAAAUUAGUACCGAAGUCUGAGAUGGAAGAUGGCGAGAAAAGCUGUGUGUAUUUCUGAGGUGCCCGUACCGCAAACCGACACAGGUAGGUAGGAAGAAGAUUCUAAGGCCAACGGGAGAAGGGUUGUUAAGGAACUCGGCAAAUUGACCCCGUAACUUCGGGAGAAGGGGUGCUCCAGAGAUGGAGCCGCAGAGAAUCGGCCCAAGCAACUGUUUACCAAAAACACAGGUUUGUGCUAAAUCGAAAGAUGACGUAUACGAGCUGACGCCUGCCCGGUGCUGGAAGGUUAAGAGGAGAUGUGCAAGCAUUGAAUCGAAGCCCCAGUGAACGGCGGCCGUAACUAUAACGGUCCUAAGGUAGCGAAAUUCCUUGUCAGGUAAGUUCUGACCCGCA